rnacentral:rRNA from 1 species
AACGAACGCUGGCGGCAGGCCUAACACAUGCAAGUCGAGCGAAGCCUUCGGGCUUAGCGGCGGACGGGUGAGUAACGCGUGGGAACGUGCCCUUUGCUACGGAAUAGCCCCGGGAAACUGGGAGUAAUACCGUAUGUGCCCUUCGGGGGAAAGAUUUAUCGGCAAAGGAUCGGCCCGCGUUGGAUUAGGUAGUUGGUGGGGUAAUGGCCUACCAAGCCGACGAUCCAUAGCUGGUUUGAGAGGAUGAUCAGCCACACUGGGACUGAGACACGGCCCAGACUCCUACGGGAGGCAGCAGUGGGGAAUCUUAGACAAUGGGCGGAAGCCUGAUCCAGCCAUGCCGCGUGAUCGAUGAAGGCCUUAGGGUUGUAAAGAUCUUUCAGGUGGGAAGAUAAUGACUGUACCACCAGAAGAAGCCCCGGCUAACUCCGUGCCAGCCGCCGCAGUAAACC